AGGUUUCCGUAGGUGAACCUGCGGAAGGAUCAUUAUUGAAAUAAAUCUGAUCAGUUGUUGCUGGCUCUCUAGGGAGUAUUGUGCACACUUGUCAUCUUUAUAAUAUAUCACCUGUGCACAUUGUGUAGACCUUGUGGAUAUCUUUCUGAUGCUUAGCAUUCAGUCAAGGGGAUUGACUUUGUUGUCUUUCCUUACAUUUCCAGGUCUAUGUUUAUUCAUAUACACAUGUAUGUUUAGAAUGUAAUUCAAUGGGCUGUCAUGCCUAUAGUCAUAUACAACUUUCAGCAACGGAUCUCUUGGCUCUCGCAUCGAUGAAGAACGCAGCGAAAUGCGAUAAGUAAUGUGAAUUGCAGAAUUCAGUGAAUCAUCGAAUUUUUGAACGCACCUUGCGCUCCUUGGUAUUCCGAGGAGCAUGCCUGUUUGAGUGUCAUUAAUAUAUCAAGCUCACAUGUUGAGUGUUGGAUGUGAGGGUUGCUGGACUCCUUUGGAGUUCAGCUCCUUUGAAAUAUAUUAGCAGAACAUAUUUGUGGAUCUUGCUCAUUGAUGUGAUACAUUUAUCUACAUCAUUGAUGUGAAACAAGUUCAGCUUCUAAUGGUCUUUAUGACAAUUUUCAUUAAUGUGACCUCAAAUCAGGUAGGACUACCCGCUGAACUUA
rnacentral:rRNA from 1 species